rnacentral:rRNA from 1 species
AUGACGUCCGAGGAGCGGAGCCAACUCUACGCGGACCUCACCAAGCUAGCCAAGCUCUCUGAAUCUCAUGUGCUCCCUGCUCAUAUCCUGGAGCUGUUGAAGAAGCAGAGCCGCCGCGGCAUCUGCGACGAUUACAUCGAGAUCGAGAUGAACGCCGUCCAAGACGAGGCCCUUGUGGAGAUGCAGAAGCAGCUGGACAAGUUCGUUCGAGAGAGGGCGAAUCCGUCCACGCAUCAGCACAAGAACAUGAUGGCCGAGGAGGAGGACGAAGACGUUGACAUCGUCGGCGGCGUCUCCCCUUUGCCGAUCAGGCCGACACCAGUGCAGCUUGUAGACAUCUGCAGCGAGGCCUCACCUCUGAAGAAUCUUGGCGAAGAUGCAACCAUCAGCGGCAGCAACGGUUUGGUUUCUGGUUCUUCUCACCAGAGCAUCGACAGUCCAGCUCCGGCAGAGCUUGCUGCCAACACUAGGCCUCCAACACGCGACCUCAUCGCCCGUGCCAGCGAGAUUCUGGAAAGGCGGCGAAAGGAGGCGACGUCCCGGGCGAGGGAGAAGGCCCGUCAGCAAGUGCUCGAGAUGGAGAGGACGGCAAUGUUCAACGAGAGCCUAGACGAGGACGUGAAGGUGCUCGGCAUCGAUCAGUACAACACGGCGAGGUCGAACAACUUGUUGCGACAGAUGGGACUCUUCCUGAAGGACAAGGCUGACGACGACGACGACCUGAAGCAGCAGCAGCAGCCGCAGCGUCAAAGCUUCCAAGAAGAUUUAGAGGAAGGGGAGAUUCGGCUGUGA